rnacentral:rRNA from 1 species
CCUACGGGAGGCAGCAGUGGGGAAUAUUGCACAAUGGGGGAAACCCUGAUGCAGCGACGCCGCGUGAGUGAAGAAGUACUUCGUUAUGUAAAGCUCUAUCAGCAGGGAAGAAAAUGACGGUACCUGAGUAAGAAGCCACGGCUAACGAAGUGCCAGCAGCCGCGGUAAUACGUAGGGGGCAAGCGUUAUCCGGAUUUACUGGGGUUAAAGGGAGCGUAGGCGGCAGUGCAAGUCUGGAGUGAAAGGCGGGGGCUCAACCCCCGGACUGCGCUGGAAACUGUACUGCUGGAGUGCAGGAGAGGUAAGUGGAAUUCCUAGUGUAGCGGUGAAAUGCGUAGAUAUUAGGAGGAACACCAGUGGCGAAGGCGGCUUACUGGACUGUAACUGACGUUGAGGCUCGAAAGCGUGGGUAGCAAACAGGAUUAGAUACCCGAGUAGUC